GGGAGACCCAUCAAAUUCGGCAGCGUCCACUGCAGCUGGUGCUGGCCCAGCUGGCUGCUACGGAAAUACCUGCAGCUCGUGGGCCCCGUGUCAUGGGAUCACAGGAUUGUUUGGGUUGGAAGAGACCU
ensembl:snoRNA